rnacentral:rRNA from 1 species
CCUACGGGGGGCAGCAGUGGGGAAUAUUGCACAAUGGGCGCAAGCCUGAUGCAGCCAUGCCGCGUGUGUGAAGAAGGCCUUCGGGUUGUAAAGCACUUUCAGCGGGGAGGAAGGCGUUAAGGUUAAUAACCUUGUCGAUUGACGUUACCCGCAGAAGAAGCACCGGCUAACUCCGUGCCAGCAGCCGCGGUAAUACGGAGGGUGCAAGCGUUAAUCGGAAUUACUGGGCAUAAAGCGCACGCAGGCGGUCUGUCAAGUCGGAUGUGAAAUCCCCGGGCUCAACCUGGGAACUGCAUUCGAAACUGGCAGGCUAGAGUCUUGUAGAGGGGGGUAGAAUUCCAGGUGUAGCGGUGAAAUGCGUAGAGAUCUGGAGGAAUACCGGUGGCGAAGGCGGCCCCCUGGACAAAGACUGACGCUCAGGUGCGAAAGCGUGGGGAGCAAACAGGAUUAGAUACCCGAGUAGUC